rnacentral:lncRNA from 1 species
UUAAAUAAAUCUUAUAUAUUAUAUGAGAUAUCAUAUAUAUUAUGAGAUAAUUUGAAAUUCGAAUAAAUAGCUAAACGGCCUGCCAUAGGUUUAUGUUAGCUGGUACUUGUGGUAUAUAUGUUUUUUGUAAUAGGCCUCGUUUACCAAAGUUAAGAUGAUAGUGCAUCAUAUGCAAUGAUAUUCAUGUAUUACAACUUCCCUGGUCUGAAUCCAAUAAUUUCUUCAAUCAGUGUACAGAAGAAAUUAACUUAAUAUUCAUUUUCCGUUUUUACAGGAAAAUGAUAUAUUAUUUCGUCUUAUAUUGUAUGCAUGAAAAAUUCCCAAUUGGGAUAAAAAUUCCCAAUUUGAUAUUCAAGGGACCCAUUUGUAAACACCUGGAAUCCUCCCUGAUGGGGCAAGACUUCAGAAAGAUGUGUGAAAAAAAAGGAAAGCUAAAAAUUUGAAUAUAAGAUGGGGAGACCAAAGAUGCUAAAUAAAGAUCUGAGAAAAAGGGUGUGAAAAAUAAAAUGAAUACCCCAUCUGGACCCUCAAAUGUAUAUACAAUCAUGAAGUGAAUGAAAGUAACACUUUAUAAAUUUGAUUCAGAAAAUAUGUCAAACAGAGUAAUAUAUAAUGUAUAUAACCAGCAUUAACAGAGAAAUUUUCUAAACAUUUGAUUUUGAGACAGCAUUAGCAUUUUAGCCAGUACAAAAUGUAAUAAAAUUUAUGAAAGUCAUAUUGAAUAGUUUAUUAAUUAAACAUGAUAAAUGAGUCAAGUGAACUAGCAUCACCUGAUUCAAACUAGUAAUUAGCUUUAACAUGUUAAAUCAGGAUGGAUAAGCAAUAUGCUGUGGUUGACAUUAAAACUCAUACUGCCUUUUUUUUAGUCUGGUACAUUUUUACAUGUAAAUCCAACCAAUAAAAUGUAUAAAUAAACCACUGCAACUUUUGUUUGGUGUUGACUAUUCAUGCUUUGUUAAAUUUUUAUACGACCGCAAAAAUUUUAAUUUUUUGGUCGUAUAUUGCUAUCACGUUGGCGUCGUCGUCCUGCGUCGUCGUCGUCGUCGUCCGAAUACUUUUAGUUUUCGCACUCUAACUUUAGUAAAAGUGAAUAGAAAUCAAUGAAAUUUUAACACAAGGUUUAUGACCACAAAAGGAAGGUUGGGAUCGAUUUUGGGAGUUUUGGUCCCAACAUUUAAGGAAUUAGGGGCCAAAAAGGGCCCAAAUAAGCAUUUUCUUGGUUUUCGCACUAUAACUUUAGUUUAAGUGAAUGGAAAUCUAUGAAAUUUUGACACAAGGUUUAUGACCAAAAAAGGACGGUUGGGAUUGAUUUUAGGAGUUUUGGUUCCAACAGUUUAGGAAUUAAGGGCCAAAAAAGGGCCCAAAUAAGCAUUAUUCUUGGUUUUCGCACAAUAACUUUAGUAUAAGUAAAUAGAAAUCAAUGAAAUUUAACCACAAGGUUUAUGACCACAAAAGGAAGGUUGGGAUUGAUUUUUGGAGUUGAGGUCACAACAGUUUAUGAAUUAGGGGCCAAAAAGGGGCCCAAAUAAGCAUUAUUUUUUGUUUUUGCACCAUAACUUUAGUAUAAGUGAAUAGAAAUCUAUGAAAUUUAAACACAAGGUUUAUGACCAUAAAAGGAAGGUUGGGUUUGAUUUUGGGAGUUUUAAUUUGGUCCCAACAGUUUAGGAAUAAGGGGCCCAAAGGGUCCAAAAUUGAACUUUGUGUGAUUUCAUCAAAAAUUGAAUAAUUGGGGUUCUCGGAUAUGCCGAAUCUAACUAUGUAUGUAGAUUCUUAAUUUUUGGUCCCGUUUUAAAAUUGGUCUACAUUAAGGUCCAAAGGGUCCAAAAUUAAACUUAGUUUGAUUUUAACAAAAAUUGAAUCCUUGGGGUUCUUUGAUAUGCUGAAUUUAAAAAUGUACUUAGAUUUUUAAUUAUUGGCCUCGUUUUCAAGUUGGUCCAAAUGGGGGUCCAAAAUUAAACUUUGUUUGAUUUCAUCAAAAAUUGAAUAAAUGGGUUCUUUGAUAUGCCAAAUCUAACUGUGUAUGUAGAUUCUUAAUUUUUGGUCCAGUUUUCAAAUUGAUCUACAUUAAGGUCCAAAGGGUCCAAAAUAAAACUAAGUUUGAUUUUAACAAAAAUUAAAUUCUUGGGCUUAUUUGAUAUGCUUUAUCUAAACAUGUACUUUGAUUUUUGAUUAUGGGCCCAGUUUUCAAGUUGGUCCAAAUCAGGAUUCCAUAUCAAGUAUUGUGCAAUAACAAGAAAUUUUCAAUUGCACAGUAUUGCACAAUAGAAAGAAAUAUCUAAUUGCACAAUAUUGUGCAAUAGCAAUUAAUUUUCAAUUGGAGUUAUCUUUCUUUGUAUAGAAUAGUAGUUGAUAAUAUAUGUUGGAAAUUUGCCAGACAUGACUAUGAUGUCAUUUUCUAUUUUUAUUUGCCAAUAACUUUAUGUAAAUAACUUCAUAUGUGAAAAAAGGGGGGGGUUCAAUUUUUCUCAUUUCAGUUUUCAUAAAUAAACAGAAAAUUUCUUCAAACAUUUUUUUGAGAGGAUUAAUAUUCAACAGCAUAGUGAAUUGCUCAAAGGCAAAAAAAAAUUUUUUUAAGUUCAUUAGACCACAUUCAUUCUGUGUCAGAAACCUAUGCUGUGUCGACUAUUUAAUUUUAGAUUUAAAUAAGUUUGAAGAAGAAAUCUUUAAUUGAUUUGUAAAAUCUUGACAUUUGUUUUGUGUAAAAAAAAAACCAUGUAAUGUCAAAAAUUUGAUCACAAUCCAAAUUCAGAGCUGUAUCACGCUUGAAUGUUUUGUCCAUACUUGCCACAACUGUUCAGGGUUCAACCUCUGCGGUCGUAUAAAGCUGCGCCCUGCAGAGCACCUGGUUAAACAUUGUGACUUGGAUAGAGAGUUGUCUAAUUGGCACUUAUACCACAUCUUCUUAUUGUUACUUAUAGGAUUGGGUAGGUAGAUUUGUAUUUUUAGCCUGUAUACUAAGCAUGAUAACAGGAUCAUGAUGAUUUAACCAAAAACAAUGUUGAAUUAUGAUAAAAGGAUACUAUUUAAAUUAUUGUGUCAACAUGAUUCACCACAUAGUCAAUAGAAACAUGAGAAAGAUAUGAAAUAAAACAAUGGAUUUAUUUAUAUUAAUCUAAAUAAAUAUACUUCACGACAAUAUAAAGAUAGAAAAGGAUUAAAUUUACUUCAGUGCUUGUUUCCUCUGUUUCUAUUGUUCUGAAGACCCUAAGUGGUUAAAUAUGUCAACAUAAUCAUGACAAAGAAUAAUUUCCCUGCUUAAACCAGGACAUUGUCUUUAUAUAGUUUGGGUUUAUAUAAUAGAUUAAGAAAUUUUCGGGUUAAAAAGUCAAUAUUUAUAAUACUGUAAAUUCCCACAAAUAUCUGUAGUAUUUAGAUUAUUGAAUUAAAUAUAAG